UUACAGGACCUGGCCAGAGAGUUAUCGCGAGAGCAGCGAAGGCCUGGGGCAGGUUGGGGGCGUUCCCUGGAGCAGUAGAGGUGGAGGUCGCUGAGGGGUACGAUUUGGCUGUGGUUUUUGAGGGUUGAAGGGAACCCUCCCGACAUCUUUCACCGCCCUGGGUCCUGCCUUCGUUCUGAGGAGGUCCCGUUCCCAAGACUGGGCCUGAGCCGGAUAGUUCUCAGUGACUCCUGUAAAAAGGUCGUCUUACCCCACAAAGAAAUCAUGACCCACAAGUUGAGAACUGCUGACUUAGAAGGACAUUCUCCAUCCUUAUGAUAGUUAAUUCUUCAGACCAGGAAGAAUAAGAUAUGUCCAUAAUUCUUAUCUUUCAUAUUUUCAAGAUCAAGGUCAUUAUUUGUAUCAAAUACUGCUUCAACUUCUCUUGCAGGUAGCCCAGUGUGGAUAUGCUGCUGUUUUUUGCUUUGGGAUUGCUUAUCCAUUUUGUGUUCUUCGCUUCCAUCUUUGACAUUUAUUUUACAUCUCCUUUGGUUCAUGGAAUGACUCCCCAGUUUACACCUUUGCCUCCUCCAGCAAAAAGAUUAGUGCUAUUUGUUGCUGAUGGCCUGAGAGCAGAUACUCUUUAUGAAUUAGAUGAAGAUGGAAACUCCAGAGCACCUUUCAUUAGGAAUGUUAUAAUGCAUGAAGGCAGCUGGGGAGUAUCUCACACACGUGUGCCAACAGAAUCUCGGCCUGGCCAUGUAGCCUUGAUAGCUGGAUUUUAUGAGGAUGUCAGUGCAGUUGCCAAAGGAUGGAAAGAAAAUCCUGUAGAAUUUGACUCUCUUUUUAAUGAAAGCAAGUACACGUGGAGCUGGGGGAGUCCAGAUAUCUUGCCCAUGUUUGCCAAAGGUGCUAGUGGUGACCAUGUCUAUACAUAUAGUUACGAUGCUCAAAGAGAAGAUUUUGGUGCCCACGAUGCCACAAAACUGGAUACGUGGGUUUUUGAUAAAGUUAAGGACUUCUUUGAUGCUGCAAGAAACAACCAAUCUUUGUUCACAAAAGUAAAUGAAGAAAAAGUAGUUUUUUUCUUACAUUUAUUGGGAAUAGAUACAAAUGGACAUGCUCAUCGACCAUCGUCAAGGGAAUAUAAGGACAAUAUUAAAAAAGUUGAUGAUGGAGUGAAGGAAAUCGUAUCAAUUUUCAAGCAUUUUUAUGGAGAUGAUGGGAAAACAGCAUUUAUCUUUACCUCUGACCAUGGAAUGACAGACUGGGGUUCCCAUGGGGCUGGUCAUCCGUCAGAGACUUUAACUCCGUUCGUUACUUGGGGAGCUGGAAUCAAAUUUCCUCAAAAUGUAUCAGCUCAGCAAUAUGAUGAUGAGUUUUUAAAAGAAUGGAGAUUGGAAAACUGGAAAAGGAGAGAUGUCAAUCAGGCUGAUAUUGCACCUCUGAUGGCAUCCCUUAUUGGAGUCCCCUUUCCUCUUAAUUCGGUGGGAAUACUUCCUGUGGGUUAUCUUAACAACACUGGUCUCUUCAAAGCAGAGAGCAUGUUUACCAAUGCAGUACAGAUUCUUGAACAGUUCAAGGUGAAAAUGACUCAGAAAAAAGAAGCCACUUUACCGUUUUUGUUUACACCAUUUAAGUUGCUUUCUGAUUCUCAACAACUGGACAUUUUAAGAAAAGCAAGAUCUUACAUAAAACAAGAAAAAUUUGAUGAAGUAGUGUCCCUCUGUGAGGAGCUGAUUGACCUCGCCCUGAGAGGAUUGUCCUAUUAUCAUACUUAUGACAGACUGUUUCUGGGCAUCAAUGUUGCAGUUGGUUUUGUGGGAUGGAUGUCUUAUACUUCUUUGUUAAUCAUCAAGUCGCAUUCUAAUAUCCCAAAAGGCACUAGGAAGGAAGAAGCCACACUGUCUCCUGCUUUAUAGCUUCAUAGCUACUGGUGUCUUAGUAGCAUGCUUCCUGAUGAUCCAAGCCUGUCCCUGGACUUACUAUGUGUACUGCUUGCUGCCAGUGCCUAUAUGGUAUGCAGUUCUAAGAGAACAUGAAGUUAUUCAAGACCUGGUUGAAUCACUAUUGACUUUUCCUCGGAGCCAUUUUGUUGCCUACUUGCUUGUCUUUACCUUGGGUAUUGAAGUACUGGUGCUCAGUUUCUUCUACCGCUACAUGUUGACAGCGGGACUGAUUGUGUUUGCAGGCUGGCCGUUUCUCACUCAGCUGUGGACCCGAGCAAAGAUCACCUUCCUGAGUUGGGCUUUCUUCUCUUUGCUUCUGGCAGUGUUCCCACUGAUGCCUGUCGUGGGUAGAAAGCCAAACCUUUCUCUAGUAAUGGGUGCUGGAUUCCUGGUUCUUCUGCUGUCGCUGGCUGUUGUAACAACUCUCGGAAAAAGAAACAUUAAAUUGGUAAAGGGCGAGCUGUUGGUACUUCUGUUACAGAUGCUGAGUACAGUGCUCUCUAUGUAUGUGGUGUAUAGCACCCACCACAGUCUGUUAAAGAAAGAAGGCCUGCCUCUUAUGAAUCAGAUUGUGAGCUGGGCAACAUUAGCCUCUUCUCUGGUGGCACCACUCCUGAGCUCCACAGCUCUCUCUCAGCGACUGGCCAGCAUACUCCUCUCCUUGAUGUCCACCUACCUGCUCCUAAGCACUGGGUAUGAAGCUCUCUUUCCUUUAGUGCUGUCCUGUUUGAUGUUUGUCUGGAUCCAAGUGGAACAAGAGACCCUUCAACAGCCUGGUGUUUCUUGUAAACAGAAGCUCACCAGCAUCCAGUUCACCUGUGACACUGAUAUAGCUCAGUUCCGACAGCUCUGUCCGGAUGACAUCCGUAGGGCCUUUUUCCUAGUUUUCUUUUUAUUAACUGCAUUUUUUGGAACUGGAAAUAUAGCUUCUAUUAACAGCUUCGACCUUGCCUCUGUGUAUUGCUUUCUGACUGUGUUUAGUCCUUUCAUGAUGGGAGCGCUCAUGAUGUGGAAGAUUUUAAUUCCUUUUGUUCUUGUGAUGUGUGCUUUUGAAGCAGUUCAGAUAACUACACAGCUGUCCUCAAAAGGUCUUUUUCUUGUUGUUCUCAUCAUAUCAGACAUCAUGGCUUUGCAUUUUUUCUUCCUGGUCAAGGAUUCUGGCAGCUGGCUUGAUAUUGGAACAAGCAUCAGCCACUAUGUGAUUGUCAUGUCCAUGACCAUCUUCCUGGUAUUUCUUAAUGGCCUGGCACAAUUGCUCACAACAAAGAAACUCCAACUGUGUGGCAAACCCAAAAGUCAUCUUAUGUGAUGUUGGUGAAGCCAUCAGUCAGCAUGCAUCCUGAUUCUCCUUCUUAAAGAAAAGUCCCACUAAGGAUUCAAGAAAAUGGAUAUUGGACCAGCAAAAUGGCUCAGUGGGUAAAAGUUCUUGUUGCACAAGCUGACAACCUGAGUUUGAUCCCUGGAACCCACACUGGAAGGAGAAAAUAGACUUCCAAAGGUUGUCCUUUAGCCCCCAAGUACAUGCUGUGACACACACACACACACAUUGCACUUGCACAUAUGUCAUGCAUGUAUACAUCACAUGCAUACAUGAUGACACUGCAGUUUUAAGAGAUGAUGGAUAAUAAUGCACAGUACAUUCUCAUCUAGAGAAUGUUGCAUCUGGCAUUCUGGAUUUAAAGGUGUUCUGAAAUAAUAGUUUUUCUUUUGUCUGACAGCUUUUCCCAGUAAUGUUUGAGAGCACCUGCAGCCCUUUGCUCCUCACUGUCAACUUCAUGUACCUGUGGGGGUGGUACUGACACUCUACAAAGUCAUUCCCAAGUGGUGACUGAAUGGAACCACAGGUUACAACAUAAACCCAGCAUUGACUUGCUUUUGUGGUAGCUCUGACUUCUAGAAGGGCUGCAAUCUGGGAUUUACUGAGCCUCUGAGCAAAGCUGUCUGCCAGGCUUUGCCAUUUCUGCUCCUGCAGUACGUUGGCUUGUGCCUCUCUGUGCCACUUCCGGGAUUCUCAUAGUCAGCCAAUUAGCAAAGCUUUCACCUUUACAUUUUGUCAACUUCUGGAUCAUCUUCAAAUUUUGGGAGACUCUGUGGCUUUGUUGAUUAUUGUUUCAGUGUCAGUCCCCAAAUCAGUGGCUGUAGUUUCCUAACAGUAUCAUAAAGAAUCAAAUAAACUUGCUACUCUUUUGUCUUGAUAUUCUAGCUAGACCAAAGGCCAGCCAUCUUAAUAGAGUGAGCUUUUCCUUUAUAUAUUCUAAUAUAUGAGGUAAUUUGAGAGUAAUUUUUAUUUGCGUUUUCCAUAAAGUGACCUAUACAGUGUAGAGUUACCUGUACAAUACUGUUAAGUGCUUGGCUGAUAUUUUGCUGGUAUAUAUCCCAUUUUAAAAAACAGUUGCUUUUUUGAUUCAAGUUAUAUUACUAGUCUACAAUGAUGACCAAAAAGCUCUUUACAAGUUUUUAAACUUUUCAAAUUGGCAGGUAAGGAAAUAUGUAUCUAGAAGAGUAAGCUCAGCUGAGCAAAAUAUACUUUAUUUUCUACUGAUAUGUCAGGAGACCCAUUAUAGUGAAUUAAGCGAGAAGUACUAAUCCUAGCACGGGCAUCACUGUGGGACAGUCCAGGUGGCAGCUAUGCUGACACAGGCAGAACAGGGCCCAGCUAGUUUCCUAGACCCUCAGGUGACUUCUGACCCCAUUAUAUGAACACUUACCACAUUCCUCAUCUGCAGGGGUUAAUUUUAAGUAAGUGUGUGUGUGUGUGUGUGUGUGUGUUCAUGCACAUGAGCACAGGUGCCCUCAGAGUCCAUAAGAGGGUGUUAGAUCCCUGAAGCUAUAGUUACAAAUUGUGAGUUGUAAGAUACCUAACAUGGGUACUGAGAACCAAACUUGGGUCCUCUGCAAGAAUAAUAUUUACUUUUUAAGUACUGAGACAUCUCUCCAAUUCCAGAAUUAAUGUUUUUAAACUAACAGAGUAAGUGGUGCUUUCUGCCUUGUAUUUUGCAUUGUAUUCUCCAAAGUACAUUCUUAUGUCUGGGCUGCUUCCAGUCUGUAGAAGGCACUGCUUCUGCAAUUGCAGCACUCCCUGCAGCACUGACACUCACAUUCACUGGGGGAGGGAGCACUCUUCCCUCUGGCACAGUGUUUCUCAUAUCUUGAAAUGUAUAUUUUUGUACUGAAUAGCAGAAGUAAAUGAGAUUUAGGCAACAUUUUUAUUUCUCUUUAAGGUAUUUUCUUCCUUUUGUUAAUAUUAUACUAGGUUUCAAAACAAAAACUUACAAAAUGUGCCAGUCAGCACUGUUUAAAUUAGUAAGUGCUUUAGAAAGUAGGGAUAAACUGGUAUGAUGGCAGAUAUCUGUAAUCCCAGCACUAGGGAGGUGUAGGCAGGAGAUCAUGAGUUGAAGGUCAUAGAAAAUUAGACACCAGCCUGUGCUUCUAAAGCCCUAUGUUUUCUAAAAAGAAUUAAAGUAGGUAUCUCAAGGUGAAAUUAAUUAAAAUAGUGAAUGACAGCUGAAUCAUGAAUGAAUCUUUGUUUACUGACUAUAUAAUGGUCAUAAUUUGAUAAGUUCUUUGUAUUUUAUUAUUUAGUGUAUAAAGUCUUAGAACACAAAAUGCUUUCUUACAUUUUAGAAAAAAAUGUAUUACAAGCUGAUGUGGUGACACAGGCCUGACUAUAAUCCCAAAGUUUACAAGGCUGAGGAGGAGGAUCACAUGUUCAGGGUCAGCAUAAACACCACAUGUUACGUGAGACCCUGUAUUAGGAAACAAUGAGGUAGGGGACUGUUGUAUUAUAAGAUGGCUGUAUGUGAAGAAUGAUGUAACCUAAUUAUCAGGGAACUGAACUUGAAAGUGACUCAUAAGUUAGUGUGGCUUCUCAUGAAAACCUCAUUCCAGAUUUCAUGCUACUUACACAUCAGUCCUCCUCCCUGCUACCGCCUGCACCUUUACAUACUGUUAGCAAUCGAGGGUUCCUUUGUUCUUCCUUUUGAAACUAGAUUCUAAUGCUAGUAGUUCAGGGGGUAGUGAAGUGCUACACAGUCAUGCCUUUAGAGACAGGCAGCAGCUAAGUGUUCCCCUCUCCUUGUGGGAGCCAAGCGAGUUCAUUUUCCCAUUAGAUGCCAUCUCAUCAGGAAGCUAGAAUGACACUGAAACAACUCAGUAAUGGAGAGUUUCCAUGUCCCACUAGUACUCAGGAGCCUUUAAGAGACCAAAGGUAGCCUGAUCAGGGGCUCUCCUUUCCUCAAUAGUGCUUAAGAUUAUUGUGCUGUGUGCUUUCUGUCCCUGGUAAUGUCUUGGCAGCAUUUCCCAUUUCCUCCCUGGUAUAGUUUGUAAAAAUAGAUUUCUCAAUGUAAUUCUGUUAAGAAAUAAAAAUGUUUGACUUGUAUAUGUCACUAAUUUUCUCUAGUACACUAAAAUAGAUUGUUAAUGGACUCACCAUUGGAAUUGUAAUAUUUAUGUGCAGUUUUGAAAAUUGUUUCAAAGCAUCACUUGUUGAUGAAUAAAUAUAUAAUAAAAGGGUUCUCUGAUGAAGUGUUUAGGAAACAUCUAGGUUAGAAGGUUUAAAGGUGCAUUUAUUUCUGGUAGUUAUAUGAAUUUAUUCAGGAUGCCCACAACUUCCAUAUGUCUGGCAGCAGAGUGUUUCCUCCCUCUUGGUGGGAGACAUAUAUUUUACAAAAGUUUUUAUGUACUUUUCUAAAAAAUUUUUACAAACAAGUGUUGUGCAUUUAAUUGAAGCUUUUCUUGGCAACUUGUAAAGUGUGUUCAUUCUAACUGUUAAACUGAGAAAACUUGAGAACAUACUGGGGAUUUUGCCUGCACAUCCCUGUCUGUGCAGUAUGGAGUUUCAUCUCUUUUGCAUCCUCAACCUGAAAAAAAUAAAAUCACAACUCUCAACUGG